GAAGGUAUAGCUCAGUGGUAGAGUGCUUGCUUACCAUGCACGAAGGCCUGGGUUCAAUCCUCAAUACCUCCU
rnacentral:tRNA from 1 species